UCUGGUUGAUCCUGCCAGUAGUUAUAUGCUUGUCUCAAAGAUUAAGCCAUACAUGUCUAAGUACUAACGAAUAAAAAGUGAAACCGCAAAAGGCUCAUUAUAUCAGUUAUGGUUCCUUAGAUCGUUAACAGUUACUUGGAUAACUGUGGUAAUUCUAGAGCUAAUACAUGCAAUUAAAAUAUGAACCUUAUGGGACAUGUGCUUUUAUUAGGCUAAAACCAAGCGAUCACAAGCGAUCGUUAUAUUGGUUGAACCCUAGAUAACAUGCAGAUCGACGACAGAUCUUUCAAAUGUCUGCCCUAUCAACUUUUGAUGGUAGUAACUAGGACUACCAUGGUUGCAACGGGAAACGGGCAAUCAGGGUUCGAUUCCGGAGAGGGAGCCUAAGAAACUUCUACCACAUCUAAGGAAGGCAGCAGGCGCGUAAGUUACCCACUCCCAGCUCGGGGAGGUAGUGACGAAAAAUAACAAUACAGGACUCAUAUCCGAGGCCCUGUAAUUGGAAUGAGUACACUUUAAAUCCUUUAACAAGGACCAAUUGGAGGGCAAUUCUGGUGCCAGCAGUCGCGGUAAUUCCAGCUCCAAUAGCGUAUAUUAAAGUUGUUGCGGUUAAAACGUUCGUAGUUGAACUUGUGUUUCAUACGGGUAGUACAACUUACAAUUGUGGUUAGUACUAUACCUUUAUGUAUGUAAGCGUAUUACCGGCGGAGUUCUUAUAUGUGAUUAAAUACUUGUAUUUUUUCAUAUGUUCCUCCUAUUUAAAAAUCUGCAUUAGUGCUCUUAAACGAGUGUUAUUGUGGGCCGGUACUAAUACUUUGAACAAAUAAGAGUGCUUAAAGCAGUCUUCAAAUGCCUAAAUAUCCUGUGUAUUCUGAUAAUGAAAUAAGACCUCUGUUCUGCUUUCAUUGGUUUUUAGAUCAAGAGGUAAUGAUUAAUAGAAGCAUUUGGGGGCAUUAGUAUUACGACGCGAGAGGUGAAAUUCUUGGACAGUCUUAAGACUAACUUAAGCGAAAGCAUUUGCCAAAGAUGUUUUCAUUAAUCAAUAACGAAAGUUAGAGGUUCGAAAGCGAUCAGAUACCGCCCUAGUUCUAACCAUAAACGAUGCCAGCUAGCAAUUGGGUGUAGCUACUUUUAUGGCUCUCUCAGUCGCUUCCCGGGAUUUGUCUGGCUAAUUCCGAUAACGAACGAUACUCAAAUAUAUUAAAUAGAUAUCUUCAGGAUUAUGGUGCUGAAGCUUAUAUUGCCUUAUUGUGUUUGAAUGUGUUUAUGUAAGAGGAGCCGUACCUGUUGGUUUGUCUCCUUAUAAGGUCACUAGCUUCUUAAAUGGACAAAUUGCGUCUAGCAAUAAUGAGAUUGAGCAAUAACAGGUCUGAGCUGCACGCGCGCUACAAUAAAAAUCAACGUGUAUUUCCUAGACCGUUUUCAUGCUUGGGAUUGUGAACUGAAACUGUUCACAUGAACUCGCAUUGAUUACGUCCCUGCCUUUUGUACACACCGGCCGUCGCUACUACCGAUUGAAUUAUUUAGUGAGGUCUCCGGACGUGAUCACUGUGACGCCUUGCGUGUUACGGUUGUUUCGUAAAAAUUGACCGAACUUGAUUAUUUAGAUGAAGUAAAAGUCGUUACAAGGUUUCCGUAGGUGAACCUGCGGAAG
rnacentral:rRNA from 1 species